AAUUGUGUGAUGAAGUAGAAUAGUGUGUUGUAUGAGAUGCUUCAUGCUGGGGUCUUUUUGGAAGGCCUCCUGGUGCUUUCAUAGGUUUACAAGAACUUGGAUCAAACAAUGAUUUUUUUCCCUAAAGUGAUGGGUUGGCUGGGACUCUCUCAGUUUUCAGCGGCUCAUGAUCUUAUUUUUGCUUUUCUACUCAUAUUCUAGUACUGAACAGAAUGGUAAACCAAACAAAAACCAAACCUUAAAUUAAAUGUAAUCUUCUAGAACCAAGCAAAGACUACAGUGGCAAAUUCCAAUCGUGCUUAUGGUAGUGAGAAGGUAUGUUUGGGCUUGCUGUACCAACCUUUUAGUUGCAUUAUUUAAAUUUUAUUUUUCAGUAGCACCAAUGUGUUAGAUGUCUGCUACAUAGAAAAUAAUGCAUGGCUCUUUGCUUUAAGGACUAAGGCCUUGAUCUUGAGAAGAGGGGUAUAUAGGUUGUAGCCGUGUUCCUUUAAGGACAUAGGCAGACAAGGUUCUUUGGGUCAACUGCAGA